rnacentral:rRNA from 1 species
CCUACGGGUGGCAGCAGUGGGGAAUAUUGGACAAUGGGGGGAACCCUGAUCCAGCCAUGCCGCGUGUGUGAAGAAGGCCCUCGGGUUGUAAAGCACUUUCAGUGAGGAAGAACGCCUGGUGGUUAAUACCCAUCAGGAAAGACAUCACUCACAGAAGAAGCACCGGCUAACUCCGUGCCAGCAGCCGCGGUAAUACGGAGGGUGCGAGCGUUAAUCGGAAUUACUGGGCGUAAAGCGCGCGUAGGUGGCUUGAUAAGCCGGUUGUGAAAGCCCCGGGCUCAACCUGGGAACGGCAUCCGGAACUGUCAAGCUAGAGUGCAGGAGAGGAAGGUAGAAUUCCCGGUGUAGCGGUGAAAUGCGUAGAGAUCGGGAGGAAUACCAGUGGCGAAGGCGGCCUUCUGGACUGACACUGACACUGAGGUGCGAAAGCGUGGGUAGCAAACAGGAUUAGAUACCCCUGUAGUC